rnacentral:lncRNA from 1 species
AAAGGUUGCUCAAGUUUAGUUGAGGUGCAUCAAUCAAUUGGACAUUCGACGAGCCUCGUUUUCUUGAAUCUCGAGGGAUGUUGGAGUCUGAAGACUCUCCCUGAAAGCAUUGGUAAUGUAAAGUCUCUUGAAACUAUGAAUAUUUGUGGGUGUUCACAACUUGAGAAAUUGCCAGAAGGCAUGGGUGAUAUGAAAUUCUUAACUGAGCUGCUAGCCGAUGAGAUUAAAACUGAGCAAUUUCUCUCUUCAAUUGGGCAAUUAAAGUAUAUCAAAAGGUUAUCAUUGCGUGUUUCAAAUUUGAAAUGUUGGCUGCCAACAUCUUUCACUGAAUGGAGAUUAGUGAAAUAUCUUAAGCUUUACUGUGUUGAUUUUAGAGGUAUGUUCUCUCUAAAAGUAUUGGAUCUAAGAGGAAACAAAUUCUCUAGCCUGCCUUCUGGGAUCGGCUUCCUUCCCAAGCUAUCGUACUUGGUUGUUAAGACAUGUGAAUAUCUUGUAUCAAUCCUAGAUCUUCCCUCAAGUUUAUGCCUUUUGGAUGCAUCUUAUUGCAAAUCAUUGGAAAGAGUAAGAAUACCAAUCGAGGCAAAAAAAGAACUAUGUGUAAAUAUAUAUAUGAAAGUCUUUCGGUAGAAGAGAUUCAGGGCAUCGAAGGUUUAAAUAAUAGUUUCUGGUAUGUUAGUGUUACAUCACCAAAUAAAUUACAGAAGAGCAGUCAUUCACCAAAUAAAUCACAGAAGAGCGUUGUUGAGGUACUAUUUCUUUUAGUCUCUCUUGCACAAGAAGAAACACACACAAUUGGCACAUACAUUGAUUAAUGUCUAAAAUCGCAGCAUUCCUUGAAAUUAAUAUGUAUACAUACAAUUAUUAUUUUAAUUUAAAAAAUAAAUAUCAUCUUUAAUAAUAUUUUCUUAUUUUUCUUAUUUAAUCUAAAAAAUUAAAUAUUAUCUUUAAUAAUAUUUUUUAUAAAAUAUUUAAAGUCUUUGGUUUUCUUUUUUAUUUCUUGAUUUUAUGAUAAUAUAUUUAUACAGGCAAUGUGCAACCGUGGUCACGGGUAUCGUAUUAGCUUCAUUGUUGAUGAUCUACUUGAGAUGCCAGAUUGGAUGAGCUACAGGGCAGAAGGAUGCGCAUUGUCAUUCCAUAUACCUCCAGUCUUCCAUGGCUUAGUUCUUUUGUUUGAGAAGAGUACUCAUCUUUACACAGUCACUAACAUUAUUAUUAUUAUAAGAAAUAAAAGCAACGGAAGAAUAUUGUUUAAAGAUAAACGAGCACAGAUAGGAAUACAUAUAUUUAUGCAGGGAUGGUUAAGAUACAUAAGUAGAAGUGAAAUGGCAAUGGAAGAUUACUGUGGAGAUGACGAAUUGGAACUAUACAUAUAUUCACAGCAAUCAGAGUAUGCAACGGUCAUUCAUUCGAACCCGUACACGUUAAAGAAUGUGGGGUCCAUGUGAUCGCAGAGAAGUUAGAUUCAUUUGAAGAGUCGGCAGUGGGAAGAGAUACAGUGAUGCCUUCACCACCGCUGUAUCAUCUGCUUCCUCAUCCUCAUCGUGGUUCAAUUACAACGUCUACACCUAAGCAAUGGUGUGACUUUUUACUUGCGGAGCUGCAAAACCAUAACCUCAGUUUAUUGCUUCUUGGUAAGAACAAAUAUUUCCUUUAGUUAUUUUUAUUCUAUUCUAUUUAAUUUAUGAGAUUAAAUAUUAUCUUUAAUUAUUUCAUUAUUACUAUUUAAUAUAAAAAAUUAAAUAUCAUUUUUAAUAAUAAAAAAUUAAAUAUUUAAGGCUUUUUGGUAAGAAUACAUAUUUCCUUUAGUUAUUUCUAUUUUAUUCUAUUUAAUUUAAGAGAUUAAAUAUCAUCUUUAAUUAUUACAUUUUUCUUAUUUUUUAUUUUUUGAUUUUAUGAUAAUAUUUUUCUUGAUUAAUAUAAAAAAUAAAUAUUAUCUUUAAUAAUUAGAUCUAUCGAAUAUCACUCAAAAAAAUAAAUUAUAUCUUUAAUAAUUAUUUUUUGAAAAACAAAAAGCCAACAAUCACUAACAUAUUUUAUUAAAAUCACUUUAGUUUAUUUAGGAAAUAUUGAAAACUGAUUUUUGUUUUUUUACAUUUAAAUAAAAAAUUGAAUAAUGUUUUUAUAUUUUAUUUCAAAUUAAAUAUUUUAAAACAAAAAUAAAAACAAAAUGAUAUUAACCUUUUUUAUUAUAAAGUAAGUUUCUUAAUUAAAAGUGAAGGGGAUUUGUUUGUAAUAACAAAAUGCAUAUAUAAUCAUGCACGGUUAACUUUAUUUCCAAACUUGAAAGUUCUACUGAAUUUGAUGGUUUUAUAGGUAAGAAGGAGCUGGAUGGAUGAGUUAUUUUACAUAGAGAUGCUUGAAGUUACUUCAAAUUAGUACGGUAUUUCUAUCUGAUGUAUUGAUAUGUAUUUGUUGGCUUGAAGAUCAUUUUCCAAGUUUGGAAGUUUUAUUGAAUGCUCUUUGAAAUCUUUUCCAUUCGCUUUUAUAAUUGUGUAGGUUUCAAUUAAAAGGGAUUGAAUUAAGGAAGUAUGUUAAAAAAUAAUAUAAAUUAUAUUUUAAAAUUUAUUUUAAUAGUUUAAAUUUUUAGAUGGAUAGUUUUUUUGACAGGUAAAAGAUAUAGUUUUACAAUAAAAUAUAUUUUUUGAAAUGAAAUUAUAUUAAAUUAAGCAUGCUCGAGAUUGUUCAAAUUAUUAAUUAAUUAUAAUUAACUUUAUGUCUUUAGAGGAAACAGAAGGGAAGGACAAGAUUAUCUUCCCCACACCAAUAGACCUAGCCCACUUUCCAAACCAGUCCCCUGGUAAAUAGAAUGAUGGUCCCAUAUUUUUCUUUCCAGCCCGUCAAGCAGUUUUAUCUCCCUCACUGGACCACUUUAGAAUGGGAAUCACACUAGGAAAUUUAAAAGUAGUUUGAAGUAUCAUUAAACCUGAUAAAAAUAAACAACCAAUAAUAAUAUGGUUGGGAUUUAAAAAAAAAUUGAUAAAAAAACUAAAAUAAAACAAAUUAAAAUAAACAAAAAACUUGAAAAAAAUUAAUUCAACCCUUUCUUCGUAAAAAAGAGAAGUAAUUGGGUAUUAAUUUACGGUCAAAAGAGUACAAUAAUGCAAAGAAAAAAAAGAGUAUGAGGGUAUUGAUUUUAUUAUUUGUUAGGUAACUAUGGAAUCUAAUCUGUUGAUGUGGAAAAUAGCACAAAUUAAGUUUUUGGCAUGGCCAUUGGUGAGAAGCAAAAGCAGUAGCAGUCCAUCAGGACCAUCACCAUCCUAUCGCCGACAUUCCAAGUGUGAAAGUGUAUUAUUGUCAUAAAGUUUUUCAAACGAAACAAUACGAUAAAUUUAAACUAUAGAGAGAUAAUUAAAUAAAUAAGUAGAAAGCGCAAAAGAAACAAUACGAUAAAUUUAAACUAUACUAAAGGUCAGUUUUUCACUCUGUGUGAAUCUACCGUGAAAGCUUGAUUUUGCACAUGGUAGAUAAAUUUAGGUUUAGGAGUAUAAUUUUUUAUAUAUAAUUACACUAAAGAAGAAUAUUAAUCAAAUAACCCUUAAAAAAAUUCCUUUUAGUUUAGGGUUUAUUUUUUUUCAUCUCAAUUACUUAAAUAUCCCUAAAAAAUAAACUCUCUUUACUAUGGAUGCAAGGUUAUUUUAGAUUUUCUGCUAUUUUUUUUUUAAAAAAUUCUCAUGUAAGAUUAGAGGUGAUUUGGUAUUUUAAUAUAUAAAUUAAUAUUAAAAUUCAAAAGCAGUUGGUGUCUCCCACACCUUUUGGAUGGCGCCUACGACUUCCACACAAAACCGAAUGUUACCGUCUAAGGCAGCGUUUGAUGCGUUUCACCACCGUUGUCACGGUGGUGGCACACGUGUUCUCUGAUGGCAUGUAGAGGAGCACGCGGAGGAGCUCCUUUCUCUUUUUCCUCUCUCGACCUAGAAAAUCAUGUUGACCAUUGAAAAAAAAAAAAACAAAGAAAGUCUAACUAUUUAUUUGUUAAGUUAAAUUAGGUCCUUAUUCUUUUGAUAACAAUGCAUUUGGUCUUGAGCUAUUUAUUAAGUUAGUUGUUUUUUCAUUUUCAUUAAUUUACACUUUGUUUUUAUAUUAGAUUUAAUCCUUAUUCUUUUAACUGUGAUGUUUUUUGUUGUCUUAAUUCCUUUAUUGAAUUAAAUUGUCUUUGAAUUUUAUCUCUUGAUAUUUUAUUUUUAUAUCAAAUAUGAUCCUUAUUUUUUUAUUGUUAUUUUUAGUUAUUUUUAUUAUUUUCUUAAUUGAAAUUGUUUUUUAAUUUCAUCCCUUAUGAUUUGGUUUUAUUUACUUUAUGUAUCAAAUUUGGUUCUCUUUCUUUUCAAAUCUACAUCUUUAAAAAUAAAAUUUAAUUUUUUUCAAGUUUAUCCCUAAUUAUUUUGGUUGGUUUAGAUUUUAUAUUGUUAUUUUUUAUUUUUCUUUUACAUUGUGAUAUAGCCUUAUGAUUGUGUCACAAAUUCUAAAAGUUGGACAGGGAUGACUUCAAUUAUUUUUAGAAAUUUUCAUUCUUCAAUUCAAUUAUAUAUAUAUAUAAAAGGUUUGACGCUUAAUAUAUUUUUGUAUUGAUUUUAUCAUUUUAUAAUUUGAUUUAUAAUGCAGUCCUAUUAUAUAUGGACCAGGACAACAAUAUCAUUCAAAUGUUAGUAAUAGAAUAACUUUUACAUAUUUUAAUAUUUAAAAAUUAAAAAAAUACAGUGUAACUGUUUUGUAUAAAUUCUAAAAGUAAGGACUCAUUUGUGCUUGGUAAAAUACCUCACAAUAAAGUUAAUAAAUAAUAACACAAGAAAAGAACAAAAGUUAAUAAAUAAUAUAUAGCAUGUCUUACACUGCUUUAAUAGAUUAUUCCAGUAAGAGCACAGAGAGAAGAGCGGUUCAAGACAGAACAAUGAUGUAUAAAUUAAAAAAAUAUAAUCUCUUAUAGGAAUCUCUUUAUUAAAUAAUCAAAAUAUUAAAGUCUAUUUCCAAAGACUAUUACUACAGUUUUUAUAUAUAUAAAAAUAGAAACAACUAAAUAGAGAAAUUAUUAUUUUUUAAAUUGAAAAAGUUGAAAAGCUUGAUAAUAUUGAGUAAGAAAUAAAAUAUAAAAAUAAUUCCUUUUAAAUAAACAAAUAUAAAAGUUUAAUAGUACUGAAUAGAAAAAAAAAUAGAAUUUCUAAACUAAAUAAAAGUAACUGAAAAAAGUAUUUAUUAUUCCAAAAAAAUUGAUGUUAAAAUCUCAUUUAUCAUAUUUUAUAUCUAUAAAAAGCUAAUUUGUCAUAUGGAAUAAGUCUAUAUGCUAAAAUCAGAAAAAACAAAUGUAACAAAAAAAAAUUCCACCAAAGGCUGUGAUUAGCAGAUUAUCUGAUGGAAAGAUGAUGAACAUUUUUUAGUCAAUUAAGUUCAUUUCACAUGAUUUUUUUAUUCUUGUCAAUUAAUCUUAAAGCAAGAUUCCAAGAUAAGCCUAAAAAAUAUUUAUUAUUAAUCAACAAUAUGGAAUAAUAACUUGUUUUCUAAUAUAAAUUAUAAUUUGAAAUAAAAUUGAUAAAAGAGUAAGGCGCAUUUUGUAUACAAAAUUAAUGACGGAAUCGUAUAUUUUAAGACUAAAUUAAAGUUUUUCAAUUACAUUUAAACAUAUUAUGGUUUUAAUAAACGUACGAUGCAUCCUUUGAUUUUAUUACAGGGAACGUGAAAUAUUGUAAAUUAUGGAGGGGAAUCAAAAUAUUUGUUAGCAGUAACCUCAGUAAUGUUUAAAAAAAAUUGUUGUGGAAACUUUGCAAAGGAUCUGAAGGAAGAAAAAUGAUUGAAUUGAUAAUAAUUUGCAAGAGAGAAUUCUUUCACUGAAUAGAAAAAAAAAUAUUAUUUUUAAAAUAAAAACAAUAAAUAUAAAAAUUAUUAUUUUUUAAAUAGAGAAACUAGAAAGUCCUGAUAAUAUUAAAUAAAAAAUAAAUACAAAAAUUAUUCUUUUCAAGUAGAAAAAAUUAUAAAAGUUUAAUAAUACUGAAUAGAAAUAAAUAAAAUUUCUAAACUAAAUAAAAAUAUUUAUUAUCCCAAAAAUUCUUAUAUCAAAAUCUCAUUUAUCAUAUUUUGUAUCUAUAAAAAACUAAUUUGUCAUAUGUACUGGGUCCAUAUGCUAAAACCAGAAAAAAAAAUGUAACAAAAAAAAAAUUCCACACAAGGCUGUGAUUAAGAGAUUAACAAGAUGAUAGAUAUUUUUUAGUAAAAUGAAUUCCAAUUCAAAAUAGCAAAAUAAGGUUUUUUGAGGCUUUUCUAGUAUAUAAAAAAAUCAAAUUAUACAAGAUUUAUUAUUAAUCUUUGAUAUUUAUUAUUGAUCAUCAAUAAUCAAUAUUAAAUGAUGACUUAUUUUCUAGUAUAAACUAUGUUUGAAAUAAAAUUGAUAAAACACAUUAUAUAUAAUUAAUGAUGGGAUCGUAUAUAAAAAUAAUUAAAUUGAGAUUUUUCAAUUACCUUUAAAUAUAUCAUAGUUUUAAUCGGUGGUGGACGAUAUAACAUAUGUAAAUUAUAAAACAAGCAUUUAUUUUUCUGAUAUAUACAUAAUUGUCGCACCCGGACAUCGCGGCGACCUUAAAAAUAAUAUUUCAUGGAAAAGAACAGAUUUCUGGCAUCCUGUUCUUUAAUGGAGAAUGGUCUCGUUUAAGGAGUCGCCACCUAGUAUUAUGGUCACUAGGAACCCUAACUGGUCAACAGAGAUUCUAUGGUACGGGACUGGUUACGUAAAAGAGAAGAUAUUAUCACCCCUUAAACGUUCUGCCUGAGGCAGACUGCAUUGCUGGUUUUGUCUUAAAUUGCUAAAUGUUUAUUAGUUUACGCUAUGAUAAUUUGCUUAUAAUAUUCCUGACUCUGGCGUCAGUGAAUAUUCAACUACGAAUAUCUCCAACUCUGGCGUUGGUAAAUAUUACGUAGUUAUAAAAUAAAUUAGAUCAAUAUUUUUUUAUUACCUACUCUAGCAGUGAAUAAAUAAAUAAAAAUAAAUUUAUUUUUAAACAUGCACAUAUUUUUUUAUUUUUCUAGCUAAAUAAAAUAAAUAUAACGAAUAAAAAUAAUAUAAAUUUAAACCGGUAUUUUUAUUCCUGACUCUGGCAUCAGUGAAUAAACCAAUAAAUUUACAUUAUUUUUAUUUAUGCAUACACAUUUUUAUUUUUAUUUUUUUCUAAUAAUGAAUAAAAAUAAUAUAAAUUUAAACCGAUAUUUUUAUUCCUGACUCUGGAGUCAGUGAAUAAACCAAUAAAUUACAUUUUUUUUAUUUUUUUCCUAGGACUAUUUUUCCUACAUUUUUUUAUAUUUUUUUAUUUUUUUCCUAGGACUAAGCUUCACACGUGUAUGCAAAAGUAGUGAAUUAAAUUGGCCUAUGUACAGUACCCAUGCAAUUAGAAUUGCAAAGCAAAGGGAAAUGAAGAACUUACCUGUGCAGGAGGCGAAGUCGAAGACGGUGGCGAAGGUGUGCUGAAUUGCCAAAGCUACCUUCUCUCCUUCUCUGUUUUUAUUCUUCGUGCGCUUCUCCUCUGGUUUUGCUUUUCUUUACUUUGAUUGCUUCUCUUAUUCUUCCUGUCUCCCCCCCUGUGUUUGCUUGUUCUCAGUUCGCUUGUGUUUUCUUUUUUUAUCUGUUGUUCAGGGAAUGGAGGAGCUGGUGUAAGUGGAGACAAAGCAGCUGAUGCCUGAGAGGGCGUUGUACUGCUGCUGGAGCUGGAAGAGGCGCGCGUUGCUGGUUGCUGAUGCAUGCUCACGGUGCAUGGAAGUGGCUGAGUUGCUACUAAUCUUGACGAUACUGGUUUCGUCCGCUGUAAAAGUUUUCGUGCCCCUGCAUCCGAUCAAAGCUUGUGCUUUUCCAAGCAAAAGCCAUGGUCCCUUGAAACUCAGCAGAUUUUCGGAGCAAGGAGGAUCGCAUGCCAAUGUAGUUCAUGGUUCUGGUUUAGAGGCAGACGUGGCGGAGAUUAAUGGUGAUUGGGACCACAGCCUAGAAGGUGACCGGGAGGAAGAUGAUCUCGAGCCUUUAUUUGCUUCUUCUUUUUUUGUGAGGAGUUUGCAGAUCCCGGGGGUUGAGAAUGAAGAAUGAAAAAUCAGUUUGAUGGGGAAGAGAUUGAGGCCAGGCAAGAAGGGAGGAAAAGUCUGGGGGGAGGGGGCAGCGGCGGCUAGUCUAGGACUCGGCCGCGCCCCUUUUUUUUUUUGUAAAUGUCUUUUGUUUCUUUUUUUUUAUAUAGGUUUCUGGUAAUGAUCUUCUCCUGGGUUUUUUUUUUGUGUCGUUUAAGGUUCCUCUCUAAUCGUCUUCCUCUCCCCUCCGUUUUUCAUACCCUGAGAUCUGUAUUUAUAGUGCCAGAGUCCCUUCGCUUGUGAGAAACCAAGUUUCAAUCAAACUCAUUCUAUUUUUUGAAGUUUGAAUUUGAUUAAGAAUCAAAUUUGAAAGCGGAUAACUAUCAUUAUCUUAAAGACAAGGAUUAUCUCGAAGAUAAAGAUUAUCUUGAAGAUAGGGAUUAUCUUGAAGAUAAAGAUAGAAUGAUAAAAGCACAUUGUAGUCCUUAAUUUUCACGGAAGUUGACAAAUCACACUUUUCAUCGAAAUAAAUCUCUGAUCUUUUAAUUUUUCAUUUUAAACCCUGUAAAAAUUAAAUUAAAAGUCAAAGGGCCAAAAUUGGGUCAUGACAGUUGCCCCCUCUUUACAAUGCUUACGGUGCAAAUGCAUUAGAAAAUUUAUUUUCUUUUGACUUUGUAUAGUAAGUUUUGUAAAGAAAAAUAAUUGUGAAAGCCCUUCCUCUUUUCCUCCUUUUUUUUUUCUUCUCUUUUUUUUGAUUGAUUUUUUUGCUUUUUUUUUUUAAAUGGUCUAAUUGUUCCAGGCGACCUGCCUGAUAAAGAAUAAAAUGCGAAAAGGGUUUCGCGAGUGGUCUAAUUGUUCCAGGCGACCUGCCCGAUGAUUGAAAAAUACGAGGAUUUUUUUUUGUGAUGGUAUAUUGUAAUGGGUUACCGGCCCAGAUGGUCACAUUGUAAUGGGUUACCUGCCCAGUAUAGGAUGGUAUAUUGUAAUGGGUUACCGGCCCAAAUGGUCACAUUGUAAUUGGUUACCUGCCUAGUAUAGGAUGGUAUAUUGUAAUGGGUUACCAACUCAGAUGGUCACAUUGUAAUGGGUUACCUGCCCAGUAUAGGAUGGUAUAUUGUAAUGGGUUACCGACCCAAGUGGUCACAUUGUAAUGGGUUACCUGCCUAGUAUAGGAUGGUAUAUUGUAAUGGGUUACCGACCCAGAUGGUCACAUUGUAAUGGGUUACCUGCCCAGUUGGUCACAUUGUAAUGGGUUACCUGCCCAGUGGAUGGUAUAUUGUAAUGGGUUACCGACCCAGAUGGUCACAUUGUAAUGGGUUACCUGCCCAGUGGAUGGUAUAUUGUAAUGGGUUACCGACCCAGAUGGUCACAUUGUAAUGGGUUACCGGCCUAGUUGGUCACAUUGUAAUGGGUUACCUGCCCAGUGGAAAAAUACGAGGAUUUUUCAGAUGGUCACAUUGUAAUGGGUUACCUGCCCAGAUGGUCACAUUGUAAUGGGUUACCGGCCCAGUUGGUCACAUUGUAAUGGGUUACCUGCUUAGUGGAAAAAUACGAGGAUUUUUUUUUAAGACAUGAUAGGGCUCGAAGGCGCAUUAUUCAAUAGAUGGAAGCUCGAGGGAAAUGAGGGCUUGAAGGCGCCCUCAAAAGAAGGUAGGAUAGGAAAUGCACUACCUUUGAUGGUCGAGGGCUCGAAGGAGCGCUCGAAUGGAGGUAGGAUAGGAAAUGCACUACCUUUGAUGGUCGAGGGCUCGAAGGCGUGCUCGAAAAGAAAUAAGAUGAGGGCUCGAAGACGCGCUCGAAAGGAGGUAGGAUAGGAAAUGCACUACCUCAGGAGUGGAAACUGAAAGGUGGUGGGAAAAUAGAGAGAUUUUUUCAGGUGGCCUAAUUCUCAUGGGCGGCUUGCCCAGGUUGAAAAAUUCUCAAAAGUGAAAAUUUUUUCAAAAGCAAUUUCAAUGUUCGCCAUUUCAAGUUGGCCUUCCGCUUGAUGGAUUCCGUCAGAAUUUUUUUCUAAUAAAAUUUGCAAAACUCAUUGUCCAAUGUCUCAAAGUUUAAAUGAUAUGCAUGCAUCUUUACCUGAUUUGAAAUAUAGGCCCCCCAUUUCUUCUUAGUCUUCUCGUGGCUUGGUUGGUGAGAUCUUGCUAUCUGAUUUGAGUCAUCUUUGUCGUUUGGCUUUCUAGCCCACUCGAGUUAGCCCAUAUAAGACUUUUUCCAGAUUUGUUUGCACAACUCAGCCUUUGUGGUGCCCAUCGUGACCCACUUGCUUGCUAGAGAUUUUCUGUCUCGUCAAAUAGUUUGAGGGGAUCAUUCAUUACUCCUCGUCUCACUGAUAAAAAUAUUUGGUGUCACUUGCUGAAAGGAUCAAACUGUCUUUCGUAAACCAAAAUGCCCCCUUGUCUUGUUGUAGGAAAUGUUCCUUCUUUUUUUUUAGAACAGAUAGAUUUUUCUUAAGCACAAUAUUGCCCCCUUGUACUAGUCAUUGCCCCCAAGUGUGCCCUGUCAGCGACUUAGACAAAUAAUGGUUUUAAGAGACCAUUCUCUCAUUUCUCUCCUUUUCAGUUUGGUGAAGGAAUAUGGGUUUAGAAUGAAUCUUGAAAUCUUGAUCUUGCAUUUUGAAAACAAAAAAUUAUUUCGAUGUGAGUCUAAAACAAUUUGCUUUUGAAAUCUUGCAACUCCUUGGUUAUUUUCUUUCUUGGAAAAGAGAUUAUUUGCUCUUGUGUUUGGCAAUGAGAUCUUUGAUGAAAAUACGUCAUGAGAUGACCUUUUGUUUUUAUAGGUUUUUAAAGUGGAGGGCUCGAGAAAGAGCUCGAGGUUUUGUAUGAGAAAAACUUGUCUCUUUUUUUAACAUUUAUUUUUAUCAGCAUCAAUAAUAAUGAGUAGCUUAUUCUUGAUGUCAUGAAUCUUAUGAAAAAGUAUUCUUUGCAUUUUGAGAGCAUUGUUUAUUGUUCUAGGUUGCUUGCUUGCUUGAUUAGAAAGGACUUCUACAGGCACAUAACGUAGGCUGUGGUUUUUGGCUAUGAAAGAAAAGGAUUCAUAAGGCUCAAAGAGUGUUUCAGGGUUUCAAAGAAUGAAGAUCACAAUCAACAGUUUGACUCUUGACGUCAUUCAUAUUUUCUUUUGCCGCUCUUCUUUGAUUUGCCUUUUUUUCUUUUUUCUUUUUCAUUGCUUUGCUAGAGCAUACUCACUUUAUCUUGGUUAUCACUUUUUCUUGUGAUUUGGGCAUGCCCCCUAGCAUUUGAGUUUCUUGGGCUCUUUUGCCUUUUGACUUUCUCACGGCUUUAUUAUCUUUCUUGAUCAUUGAAAUUUCACUUGCCCCCAGUGUGGGGUGUGAUCCUAGUCGGGAUUUUUUCAUGAAAGAAAAAUUAUUCAGGCUCAAAAAGGGAUCGCAAGGGAUGUACUUAUUUCAGAAUAUGAAAGGAAUAACAAAGAUGGCAUUUCCUCAUUUCAAGCGCAAGCAGUUAAGAUCAAUAAACUUUGACCUCAUCUAGUGUGAUAGUUUGGUCUUUGCAAAGAUGCAUUUCAAGGGUCAUGAGCAACAAGUUCACUACAUACCAUUAUUCAUACAUUUAAAAACACAUGAUUCAAGAGUCGUGGGGUAAGGGUGUUUAUUUAUUUCUUUUCUCUUUUUUCUUUUUUUCUUUUUGGUUUAUAAUUUAGUCACCUCAUUGAUGGAGUUACUUGAUUAACACGUAGAAUGUUAAAAAUAUGGUUUUUGAAUAAACAUCAAGUUAUUUUCGGAAUCAAAAUGCAAGAUCAAUUUUUUCAAAACUCUAAUAGGGAAACUGAUUUUUGGUAACAGAGACAAAUUGCGUCUAUGAGAUCGCACAAGGCUUCAAAGAUGUGUUUGUGAGUCUUUAUAAGAAAACUCUCUCAGAAAAAUGAAUAAUGCUAAUCGUACACACGAUUGAAUGACAAACUCAUUAUUUUCAUUGAAACUUUGGAAAAUAAGUUCAACAAGAAAGAACUCAUGACAACAUCUUGGGCUAUGAAUACUGGCAUGAUAGCAUAUAAAGGGGCUAAACAUUUAACAAUCAUUGAUUGGAAUUUCUGGAAUCAUUCAUUCUCCUUGACAAGGGCAUCUCUUCAAUAGUCAAUAAUAUCACCAUAGCUUUAUCUUCAAGAUAGUUGAUUUCUAAAAAUUGGUGUGAAGCAAUUAGCUAUAGGAACGAUAACUGUCUUGGCAGCCACCUUCAGUGAAACCGUUCUUCUUAGUUAGGUUAGCAAUCUUACAUAACCCAAUGGCUUGUUCAAUCCUCUCAGCUAUAACAACCAGGUCAGUGAAAUGUUGCGCAGAGCUUCUAACCAAGUAUUCAAAGUAUGAAGCUUUAAAGUUGUUGGAAAAUAAACUGAUCAUCUCUUUUUCCAACAUAGAAGGGUUAACCUGUGCAGCUACCUCCCUCCAUCUUCGAGCGUAUUUCCUUAUGGACUCCUUAUUGUCCUUCUCCAUAGCUUGCAAGUUUAAACGAUCAGAGUCCACGUCUAUAUUGAACUUAUAUUGUCUCAUGAAGGCAUCAACUAAAUCCUUCCAUUUUUUAACCUUGGUAUUUUCCAACCGCAUAUACCAAGUGAGGGCAACGUCACUCAAAUUGUCUUGAAAGAAGUGAAUUAACAGUUUCUCGUCAUAGACUACCUCAACCAUUUUGUUGCAGUAUGUCUUGAGAUGAGUUACAGGGCAUUGAGUUCCUGUAUAUUUGAUGAAUUCUGGCACUCUAAACUUCUUAGGAAUGACUACGUUAGGUACCAAACACAUCUCAACAGCUUUUAUAUGGUCAUGUAGGCUAGUUCCCUCGAAUGCCCUCAGUCUUUGUUCCAAGGCAGCCCUUUUAUCCAGGCCAUCUUCUUUUACCACCUUGUUCUUUUGAGAUUCCUUUAUUGUAAGGUCAAUGGUAGAUGACAUUCCUAUGGGAUAUGCUGGUUGAGCAAAUUGGGAAUACAUAGACUGUUGAGACACCUCAUUUGCCCCCAGAUUCUGUGGAUUUACGAGCAUAGGUUCAGGCUGAGCUGUAGAUUUUGCUUCUUCAUGUUUAGAUCUCAAGGCUUGUUCGAGUAAGCUAGUAAGCCUGGCAACUUUCCAUCUCUUUUCGGUGUGGGGCUUCCAACUGGGCUCUUUCUUGUAAAAAAUUCCACACAAGGCUGUGAUUAAGAGAUUAACAAGAUGAUAGAUAUUUUUUUAGUAAAAUGAAUUCCAAUUCAAAAUAGCAAAAUAAGGUUUGUUGAGGCUUUUCUAGUAUAUAAAAAAAUCAAAUUAUACAAGAUUUAUUAUUAAUCUUCGAUAUUUAUUAUUGAUCAUCAAUAAUCAAUAUUAAAUGAUGACUUAUUUUCUAGUAUAAACUAUGUUUGAAAUAAAAUUGAUAAAACACAUUAUAUAUAAUUAAUGAUGGGAUCGUAUAUAAAAAUAAUUAAAUUGAGAUUUUUCAAUUACCUUUAAAUAUAUCAUAGUUUUAAUCGGUGGUGGACGAUAUAACAUAUGUAAAUUAUAAAACAAGCAUUUAUUUUUCUGAUAUAUACAUAAUAAUAACAAAUUAAAUGAUAGUAACAAGAAAAUAGCAAUUAGUUUGAAUAAAUGGUACCAGUUCCUAUCAUUAUAUAUUUAGGAAAAGGUUCAAAGAAUAGAAUAAAGUCAAAUAUAUAUUUUUAAUAAAAAAGAAAAAAAAACACAGAAAGAAAUAAAAAUAUGUUUGUAAUAAAUAUAAAAGAUGGAUAAAAAUAUUAGAGAAUAAGAAAGAGAUAUAGAAUCUCUUUGUGAAAUUUCUAAAAACUUAAUUACAAUUAUAUUAUAAUUUCUUCCCUAAAAUUAUUCAAAAUAUAGUAUUAGAAUUAUAUAAUGCUAGGUUUUAAUAGUUAAUUAAAGAAUCUUUCCUGAAUCAAAUAAUAAAAAUAUUGUAUAACGAUCUUUUGGAUGAAUUGUUAAUGUAGCUCUUUGACUGUUUGGGGUCCUGACAUAGCUGAUUUUAUUUGAAUAUAUUAUUUGAUAUCUCAUUGCUGCAUUGACUGGAAAUUUCAGUAUUCCAUAUCCUAUAUAUUUAACUCGUUAUAUUUAGUAGCUAACUCUGCAGCUAACUUCUCUGUCCCAUUGCAGCAAUUUCAUAGCUAACUCUUUGUUAUAUUUAACUUACUCUUCUUUGCUUCUUUGCUUCUUGCUCAUAACGAUAACUUGAAAGCCUUACGUUCAGAUAGAUAAUCAUUGACCAGUUCAUUGACCAGUUCUUUGUUAAUUUAGAAAUGCUGAAACAAAAACGCAAGCAAUCCAAAGAUGAAGACAACGAUUCAUCCUCGCGAAAGAGAAGAAAAGCUGACCUCAGUAAGCCUGUCAGUUUUGUCUCCACAGGUAAGGCAUAUGCGUGAGUCUAUACAUGUAGGAACUGCUGAUUCGAUUUGAAUAUGUUAUUUGAUUAGUCUGAUCAUAGGAUAGGUUGAGUCUACUACUAUUUCUGCCUUGCUUUGACUCGAAAUUCCUGGUGUUUUCACCUGCAAAUGAAUAGAAAUCACAUCCUUUCUCUUUCUCCUAUACAAAGAAUACAGUUAACCUCAUUUCAAUAUCAUAGAUUUGGAAUUUCAUAGCUAACUCUUUGUUAUAUUGCUCCAUUGGUAAUUGAUUGUGCCUUAAUUUCUGCAGCUACCAUGACAGAGCCAGGGUCUUCUCGAUCUAGUCCAGAAGGGGCCUAUGAUGUCUUCUUGAGUUUUAGAGGAGAAGACACUCGCAAGACAUUUACAGAUCAUCUAUAUGCUGCCUUAGAUCAAGCAGGAAUCCGCGCUUUUCGAGAUGAUGAUGAACUUCCGAGAGGAGAAGAAAUCUCCGAUCAUCUCCUCAGGGCAAUUCAAGAAUCAAAGAUAUCCAUAGUUGUCUUCUCAAAAGGAUAUGCUUCUUCUAGAUGGUGUCUCAAUGAACUUGUAGAGAUUCUUGAGUGCAAAAAGAGGAAAACCGGUCAGAUUGUUCUUCCUAUAUUCUAUGACAUUGAUCCUUCAGAUGUGAGAAAACAGAACGGCAGUUUUGCAGAAGCAUUUGUUAAACAUGAAGAGCGUUUUGAAGAGAAGUUGGUGAAGGAGUGGAGAAAAGCUCUUGAGGAGGCUGGAAAUCUAUCUGGAUGGAAUCUCAAUGAUAUGGCAAAUGGGUAUGCCUUUUUUCCAAAUUUAUGGAGUCAAUAUACUUUAUAUUUUUCAAUGUGAAACAAUAAAAUACUUAAUUGACUGGCUAUCAAUGACUGGCUUUUGUCUAUGAGCAGGCAUGAAGCAAAAUUUAUCAAAGAGAUUAUCAAGGAUGUGUUGAAUAAAUUAGAUCCCAAGUACUUAGAUGUUCCUGAGCUCCUAGUAGGUAUGGAUCGGCUUUCUCGCAAUAUUUUUGACUUUCUAAGUACUGCAACACAUGAUGUACGCAUUGUGGGCAUACAUGGGAUGCCAGGAAUAGGAAAGACAACUAUAGCAAAAGUUGUAUUUAAUCAACUCCGCUAUAGAUUCGAGGGAAGCUGCUUUUUUUCGAAUAUCAAUGAAACAUCAAAACAAUUCAAUGGUCUGGCUCUUUUACAAGAGCAACUUCUUCAUGAUAUUUUAAAACAAGAUGUUGCUAACAUCAAUUGUGUCGAUAGAGGAAAGGUUCUGAUCAAAGAACGACUUCGUCGCAAAAGAGUUCUUGUUGUUGCUGAUGAUGUGACUCGUCAGGACCAGCUAAAUGCUUUGAUGGGAGAGCGAGGUUGGUUUGGUCCCGGAAGUAGAGUAAUUAUUACAACAAGAGAUUCAAGUUUUCUACAUAAAGCGGAUCAAACAUAUCAAAUCGAAGAAUUGAAACCAGAUGAGUCCUUUCAACUUUUCAGCUGGCAUGCCUUGCGGGACACCAAGCCAGCAGAAGAUUAUAUUGAGCUUUCGAAGGAUGUAGUUGAUUACUGUGGAGGAAUUCCUUUGGCUCUUGAGGUUAUGGGUGCUUGUCUGUCCGGGAAAAACAGAGAUGGUUGGAAAUCUGUAAUUGACAAAUUGAGAAGAAUUCCAAACCGCGAUAUCCAAGGAAAGCUUAGAAUAAGUUUUGACGCACUGGACGGUGAAGAACUACAAAAUGCAUUCCUUGACAUCGCUUGCUUCUUUAUUGAUAGAAAGAAAGAGUACGUCGCAAAAGUGCUAGGAGCCCGUUGCGGUUACAAUCCAGAAGUUGAUUUGCAAACUCUCCAUGAGAGGUCUCUGAUUAAAGUAUUGGGAGAGACGGUAACCAUGCAUGAUCUAUUACGAGACAUGGGAAGGGAGGUCGUUCGUGAAAAGUCUCCAAAACAACCUGGAGAGAGGACCAGAAUUUGGAAUCAAGAGGAUGCAUGGAAUGUACUUGAGCAGCAGAAGGUAAGAGCUCAAUGCAUACAUGAAAGCAUAGUCAUGCGUAUUUUCUAGUCAAACUUAUUACAAGUAAUUGUAUGAAAGUUGUAUUGAUUUAUUUUUUAGGGUACGGAUGUCGUAGAGGGUCUUGCACUGGAUGUCAGAGCAUCAGAAGCUAAAUCACUUAGCGCAGGAUCAUUUGCAGAAAUGAAAUGCUUAAAUUUACUCCAAAUCAAUGGAGUUCAUCUCACCGGAUCCUUCAAACUGCUUUCUAAAGAGUUGAUGUGGAUUUGUUGGCUUCAAUGUCCUUUGAAAUAUUUUCCAUCUGAUUUUACCUUGGAUAAUUUAGCUGUUCUUGAUAUGCAGUACAGUAACCUCAAAGAACUAUGGAAGGGAAAAAAGGUGAGAAACAUGCUGCAAUCCCCAAAAUUUCUCUAUUAUGUAAUUUAUAUUUACAUGUUACAACUUCUUAAGAUUAAUUUUCAUUAUUUUGCGCUCUAUUAUACAGAUUCUCAACAGGCUAAAAAUCCUUAAUCUCAGUCAUUCUCAGCACCUUAUUAAAACACCAAACUUACACAGUUCAAGUCUAGAGAAAUUAAUUCUGAAAGGUUGCUCGAGUUUAGUUGAGGUGCAUCAAUCAAUUGAAAAUUUGACGAGCCUUGUUUUCUUGAAUCUCAAGGGAUGUUGGAGGCUGAAGAAUCUCCCUGAAAGAAUUGGCAAUGUAAAGUCUCUUAAAACUCUGAAUAUUUCUGGGUGUUCACAACUUGAGAAAUUGCCAGAACGCAUGGGUGAUAUGGAAUCCUUAACUAAGCUGCUAGCUGAUGGGAUUGAAAAUGAGCAAUUUCUCUCUUCAAUUGGACAAUUAAAGCAUUGCAGAAGGUUAUCAUUGCAUGGAGACAGUUCGACGCCACCAAGUUCUUCUUUGAUUUCAACAGGUGUUUUGAAUUGGAAACGUUGGCUGCCAGCAUCUUUCAUUGAAUGGAUAUCAGUGAAACAUCUUGAGCUUUCUAAUAGUGGUUUGUCUGAUCGCGCAACUAACUGUGUUGAUUUCAGUGGUUUGUCUGCUCUAGAAAAAUUGGAUCUAACAGGAAACAAAUUCUCUAGGCUGCCUUCUGGGAUCGGCUUCCUUCCCAAGCUAACGUAUUUGUCUGUUGAGGGAUGCAAAUAUCUUGUAUCAAUCCCAGAUCUUCCCUCAAGUUUAGGGCAUUUGUUUGCAUGUGAUUGCAAAUCAUUGAAAAGAGUAAGAAUACCAAGCGAGCCAAAAAAAGGACUAUUUAUAAAGCUAGAUGACAGUCAUUCGUUAGAAGAGUUUCAGGGCAUUGAAGAUCUAAGUAAUUGUUUCUGGUAUAUUCGUGUUGAUGACCGCAGUCAUUCACCAAGUAAAUUACUAAAGAGCGUUGUUGAGGUACUAUUUCUUUCCGUCUCUCUUUCGCACAAAAAGAAACACACACAAUUGGCACAUACAUUGAUUAAUGUCUAAAAUCUCAGCAUUCCUUGAAAUCAAUAUGUAUAUAGGCAAUAAUUAUUAUUAUUAUUAUUAUAUUUUAAAAAACAAAUAUCAUGUUUUAUAAUAUUUUUUAUUUUUCUUAUUUAAUCUAAAAAAUUAAAUAUUAUCUUUAAUAAUAUUUUUUAUUAAAUAUUUAAAGUCUGAUUGGUUUUAUUUUUUAUUUCUUGAUUUUAUGAUAAUAUAUUUAUACAGUUAAUGUGCAACGGUCGUCACGGGUAUUUUAUUCGCCACACUCCUAGUGAGAUGCCAAACUGGAUGAGCUACAGGGGAGAAGGAUGCUCAUUGUCAUUCCAUAUACCUCCAGUCUUUCAAGGCUUAGUUGUUUGGUUUGAUAAGGAUGAUCAUUAUUACUUCCACACUGACAUUAUUAUUAUUAUAAGAAAUAAAAGCAACGGUAUUCAAUUGUUUGAAGAAGAACGAACAGUACCAGAAAAUGAAAACAAUACCUCCAAAUUAGUAGAACGAACAGUAUCAGAACGAACAGUACCUCCAAAUUAGUAGGGUACAUCUCUUUUUGCCGAGUUGAUAUGAAUUCGUUAGCUUGAUGAAAACAACCGAAAGUUCUGAAAGCAUCCUUAAUUAGUAUAAUUAGUAAAGUCUUGUUAGUUUUGGCUAUAAGUUUUUGUUAUGUAUUAUUGCAUGGUUUUUAUUAUUUGUUGGCCCUUGUUUUUUUUAUAUACAACUUUUAUUUUUAUUGUCGGUUUGUCAUUAGCUUUAUGGCACUAACACUUAUUAAUAAUAAAUCUUGGACUAUUAUUAAAUAAAGGAAAAAUAAAAACAUUGUUAAAAUACCAAACUUGCAUAUUUCAAACUUAGAGAAAGCCGAUGAUAAUAAUCCAAUUUAGAAAAUAAUUAAUUUGUCCUUGUAGUAUUAGAAAAUAGUAUUUAAUCCUUAUGUUUUCAUAUUCAUCUAUGAUUUAAUCUCUUACAUCCAUUUCAUUUUCUUAUUAUUUUAAUCCAAAAAAAACUAAAAAUCACAUAUCAUGAAUACCAAUUAGAACGGAAGUGAAGACCAAUUAGAAGACUAUAAUCCAUAAUUCUCUCUGCUUCUAAGAAUUCACAGUCCCUAUAAAUUUGACUGAGAAAGAAAGAACUGAAGACAAACACAUGUUAACCUCUCAAGAUUAGUGCCUCACAAAAGAACAAGAUAAAGGAAACACCGCAAUUUUUCAUGAUAAAAUCCAAAGGAUUGGUACUUUGGUGUUUGUGGCGCUGGUAUAUGAAAGAACAGAGAUCAAGAGAUGAAAUCCCUCUAUACCGCUGUUAUUCCUUUCAAGGUGCGUAUCAGGUGUUUGAAAAACUUCCUCAACUUAAAGUAGAAAGGUCUUGUUUACAACGUUUUUUAGUCCUUUUCAAGUCUUCCAAUGUGUUGCAUUUACUGAAUAUGAUAGUGGGAAUUUAGUUAUCACCUACUAUCUUCUAAGACGCAUCUCUGUCUCCUCUUCUUCUUUAUAAAAUUAUUCCCUUCUAGUUCUCUAAUGUACUUGAUGUCCCGGAAGUGUGGCUUCUUCAUAUGAAGAAUACGUUAAGAUUCAAUUAUGAUUUUAGAUUCCAUUGCCUACAAAUUUGAACCAUGAUAAUGUAGCAUACGGACCAGUCAUGCCUAUCUACAUUAAUUAGAAUAGGCCUCCACCCUCUUAGGUUUUUAUUGAGAUUAGGGAUUCUAUUGUAGCUCUUUUUUCUCCUUUUAUUAUAACAAAAUAAUAUGUAUGGAUUAAUUUUCGUAUACAGAAACUAAGUCCUUUAAUCAAAUUUUAGAUUGACCAUCCUCUAUUUUUUAACUGUUUGAUACUUGUUUAAAAAAAAUACUAGUAAUGAGGGCAUGAAAUUAAGAAGGUGUGUGGGAAUGUGGUUGUGGUUGUUUUUGAAAAUAUAUUUUACUUAAAAAUAUAUCAAAAUAUUAUUUUUUUUAUUUUUAAAAAUUAUUUUUAAUAUUAACAUAUUAAAAAUAAAACGGUUAAAGAUAAAGUCCCAAAACAUAUUCUGCCCUUCUCCCCAAUGAACGUGGGCAGGCUUGACAUUUACUCGUUUACAAAACUGAGCCCAGUGGCAAAGAGGCCUGCUUAUUAUGCCUUUAGCUGAGACUGCUGUAGAAAUAAGUAGGCCUGAUCAAUUGGACUAAAUUUUUGUUUUGCUGUAGAAACACGUUUUUCCUUUGUGAGAAAAAGCAAGUUCAAAAAAACAGAAGAAGCAGAAUUUGAAAAAAAGAAGAGAAAAAAGAAAGAUGCUUUAGUUUUUAAUCCAUAAUGUCCAAAGUGACUGGGUAGAUAAGAUCCAGCCCAUUUGGGUCCAUCAAAGUCAUUUGUGGUAGCUUAUGACUAAUGUGCCCAAAGGAUGGCGGUUCAGUAACGGUCCAAGUAAAGAAACUAAUCUGGAAAAGGAAAUCAUGCCCAUCAGAAUUCAGAAGAUCAUUCUGCGUCCAUUUCACAUUAGCAAAAUGAAUCAAAACACCCAUUAGAAUUUUGAAGUCAUGUAUCUUCGAUGAAUUGCAAGCCAUAUCCAAAAGUUUCAUCAUCCAUAUGCCAAGCAGCAUGCAUGCAUGCAAAAUAUGGUGAGACAGAGUCAUCAGAUAAAAAAGAAAAAUAGUAGUGGAAUAAUUCUUUUAAUAUUUAAAAAUUAAAAAAUACUGUGUAACUGUUUUGUAUAAAUUGUAAAGUCAAGGACUCUUUUGUGCUUGGUAAAAUACCUCACACUAAAAUUAAUAAAUAAUAACACGAGAAGGACCAAAGUUAAUAAAUAAUAGCAUGCACGAAACUUUACAAUACAGUAAAAAAAUUGUUACAGUAAAAGCACAGAGAGAAGAACGGUUCCAUAAAAAGAUGUGGUAAGUCUAAUGUUGGGAGACUGCUCUUCCAAGGAUCCUACGGUUGCGAGCCAUGUGAAUGCAAAAGGAGCCAGUUGUUGCAACUCCAAAUUCCUUGCUUUUUUUCCUCUACGUACGUGUUACCUUUAACCUUUUAUAAUUAUGAUUGUUGCGUUGCUAAUUAUAAUUUGCAAGAAAGAUGAUGAACAUCUUUUAGUGAAUUAAGUUCAAUUCAAAAUAACAAAAUAAGGUUUGUUGAGGCUUAUCUUCGAACCUCAUUUUAGGAUUAAUAGACGAAAAUCAAAAAGUCCUGUGCAAAUUAUACAAAAUUUAUUAUUAAUAAUCAAUAUUUAUGAUUGAUCAUCAACAUUAAAUAAUGGCUUAUUUUCUAGUAUAAACUAUGUUUGAAAUAAAAUUGAUAACAGACACACAAUUAAUGAUGGUAUUGUAUAUUUUGAGACGAAAUUAAGGUUUUUCAAUUAAUGCUAAAACAUAUCAUGGUUUUAAUAGUUGGAUGGUACAUUAUGUAAAAUAUAAAAAAAUAUUUAUUUUUUUGAUAUACAUAGUAAUAAUAAAUUAGAUGAUAAUAACAAAAAAAUAGAAAUUAGUUUGAAUAAAUAGUACCGGUUCAUAUUAUGAUAUAUCUAGAGAAGAAGUUGGAAGAAUAGAAUGAAAUCAAAUAUUAAUAUAAAAAAAAAUAUUGAAGUAAUGAGUACAUGAAGCAAGAUAAUUAGUGGUUGAAUAUAGAUUAUAACUAAUUAUUUGUUCUGAUGAAGAUUACCAAUUAAAUACAAACAAAAAAAAUGUUUCUAAAAUAAAAGGAUAUGAAUUAACUAUAGAAACUAAAGAGUGGAUCGGUUAUCUUUAACGUUUGCAAAUAAUUAAAAGAGAUAUAAAUUUUGUGAUGGGUUAUGAUUAACGCAGAAGCAAAUAAAAGAGGAACAGAAAUUAUAAGCAAAUAUUGUUUCCUGGGCGGAAGUGUUUGGCACUGUCGAUAAAAGUUUUUUGAAAAAAAUUAAUUUUAUUUUUAUUUUUUUAUUUUAAAUUAAUAUAUAUUUUAUGUUUUCAGAAUAUUUUGAUGUAUUAAUAUCAAAAAUAAUUAUUCAAAAAUAAAAAAAAAUCUAACCAUUAGAGCUUCUCUCUCAAUCGUCUUUCUUUUUUUUAAUAACUAGAUUAUUAAAAUUACAAGAAUUAAGUUAAUAUUUCAAAAAAUUUCAAAAAAAUAUUUUGUUUUCUUUUAGUAUCUGGGAUUAUGAAUUUAUACGUAAAAUGUAUUCUUGAUAUUAAAAAAAAAGAUAAGGAUCUUCUUACUGAGGAAGACUUAUCUUGAACCUUAGACAUACUAAUUAGAAAACAUGACAAUACCUUAAUUUUUCUCAGACAAUUAAACAAUGCAAUUGUGUAUUUGGGGUGCUAAUAUAUUUUUUUUUACACAAUCAGUUUUCAUGCUCGAUCUCUAAGAUUAAUUAGGGUUUCUAGUAACUAAAAUACUAAGUAAAUAUUUUCUAGUAAAUUAAUUUCAAUUCAAAAUAACAAAAUAAGGUUUGUUGAGGCUUAUCGUGAAACCUUGUUUUGGAUGAAUUGAUCACGAGAAUGAGAAAUCAUGUGUAAAUUAUACAAAAUAUAUUAUUAAUCAUCAAUAUUUAUUAUUGAUUAUCAAUAUUGAAUAAUGGUUUUUUAUAAUAUAAAUUAUGUUUAAAAUAAAAUUGAUAAAAUUAAAAUUCAUGAAACACAAUUAAUGAUGGGAUCUACAUCUUUUGAAUUUAUUAGAAUGAACGUGUAAUUAAAGGACGAACCACAUACCAUUACAUGCGUUUUCAAUUGGAUUUUUUAUUUAAAUGAAAAAAAAUCUGUUUUAUAUGAAAAAAAUAUUUAUUUUUUUGAUAUACCUAAUAAUAAUAAAUUAGAGAAUAGUAACAAGAAAAUAGGAAUUAGAUAGACUAAACGGUACCAAUACUAUAUUCUUAAUAAAAAAAAUAUUUUUAAUAAAUAUAAAAGAUGGAUGAAAAUUGUUGCUACUCGAUUUUUUACCUAUAUUUUAAAUAAUUUUUCAGAAAAAAAUCAAAAUAGUAAAAACACAACGAAAAUCUCAAAAAAUGUAUUUUUGAUAUAUUUGUAUUGUUUUUAGCAUUUUUAAUAUUAUCUCAAAAAAAUUUUAAUUUUCAAAAGUAUUUUAAACGCGUUUAAUUUUUAAUGCGUAAAAUUUACAAUUACUGAUUUGCCUUAUUAAGUUGAUAUUGAUAUGAUUUGUUUUUAAAAAAAUUCAAAAUAUAACAAAUAAAAAAAUAUCAAAAUUUAUAUAUAUAAAAAAAAAUGAGGAACCAGUUUGGAAAUCUAAUAAGAUUUUGGCUAUAAAUACAGUGAAAAAUGUCAACAUCCGGGGGGAAUUGAGAGGAAUAGUGGCGUAGAAAAUUUUGGGGGGAAACAAAAGUAAAGAACCCUAGACCUCUUCCUUUUGGCAGUGUGGUAGUGGUUGCUUUUCAAAUAAUUUUUCGUGCCGAAAUACAUGCCAAUGAUAUUUUUUUAUUUUUUAAAAAUCAUUUUUGACAUCAGCACAUCAAAACGAUCCAAAAAAUACAAACCACACUCAAUUUUAACAAAAAAAAAAACAAAUUUGAAAUUUGGUGAAAAGCAGGUUGAACAGCAGAGCCAAACAUGCUAGACAGGAGCCGCCGCCUCCCUCUCAAAAAAUCCAGAGAAACCCUCCCUCUCUAAAAAAAAACAGGAGAAACCCUACUUUGGGGUUUUGAACUUUCGGCUUCUUCUCCCUGCAGCCGGACAAGGCUGCCCCCUCGCUUUGCCAAAAACGAGGAGAACCCCACAAAACACACAGACCCCCCCCCCCCAAAAAAAAAAAAAAAACCAUCCCCAGAGAAACCAACCCCCAGCCGGCGACCCCCAGCCUUAACAACAAAGAAAGACACGGCUGGUCCCCCCUCUCCACUGAUCUUCUCCCUCACCAACCUUCCCCUCUCUCGGCCGCUCACUUCCCCUCCGUCAAAAACAGAGACCGGCCGCCCCCCCCCUCUCCUUUGAGGCCAGGAACCAGAGAAACCAGAGAGCUCCGGACAGGCCUCCCUCUCCCUCGACCACAACCUCCAUCCUCCCUCUCUGUAAUCCAGCCCCCACAAACCCACAAGACAGCCCCGGCUCCCUUCCUCAUCGCCGUUUUCUCCAACUCUGACCGACCCCUCUCUCAGCCACCGAGAACGCCGCCUAGCAGCCCGCAGGCCCUCGUCCUCACCAAGACCCGAACCGGCCACCGGCAGCUGUACAGACACGACAGAAGCUCCGCCGCCGGCCGCCCCUUGCACAUACCGUCGGCCACCUGAAACAGAAGGUGAAAAAAAAAGAAAAAAACAGAUCUGCAGAAGAAACAGAUCUGAAACAAGGGAAGACCGAAACAGAUCUAAAGAAGAAGAAUAAAAAUCAACUGCUUUGUUGCGUUUUUGGUUGUUCUUGCAGGUCACUGCCGAGGAAAGGAAGAGGAGGAGAAGUUAAGCCAGAUCCACAUGUUCACAGUUUCUGCUUGCGGUGACGCGUGAACCCACACGCCGCCAGUGGCAUGGUGCGUGGAGAAGACGCUCCGCCACUGUUCCCAUCCCCAGAACCCUUUCAGCACUGUUCCCGAGGUUUUUUUUUAUUUAAUUUUCAGAUGUUGAUAUGUGUUUUUAGAUUAUUUUUAUUUGAUUUAUUUUGAAUUCUUGGUAUUUUGUAAUAUGGAAAUGUGGGUGCACGAGAAAAACAUAAUAAAAAGGAAUUUAUGUGUUUGUAUUUUUUUUAUGUAAGUUAUUGAAUUAUAAAAUCAGAAAGAUAAAAAAAAAUAAAUUUAAUGUUUUAAUUUGUAUAUGGUCAAGUAUAUGAUGAUAAUUAAAAUUAUGUUGUAUUUUUCAUAUUUUUCAUAAAAAUAUAAGAACAUGUUUCUAUAUAUUUUCUGGUGGAAGCUUUAAAAUUUGAUUAAUAUUUUAUUUUUUAAAAUUGUAUCUUCAAAUUAAAUUAUGAAGCAACUUAUCUCAGGUAAGAUGUGUUAGAGGUGUUAAUAUUUUUUCAAUUAUAAUCAAUUUUUUAUCCUUGAAUCUUUGACAAGACUAACAUAUCCAGGUUUUUUAGUAGGUGAUGACUUUCAAGAACAAGCAAACGAAGAAAAUCACUAAUUGACGCCGUGCAGGGAACGUGCGACAAAAAUAUUAGAGAAUAAAAUUGAGAUAUAGAAUCUCUUUUUUAUAUUUCUAAAAACUUAAUUUCUGUUGUAACCUAUUUUUGAGUCCCACACUAAAAUGGAGAAUAAACAAAUUUGGAAGAAAUCUAAAAAAAUAAUAGCAAUGAGAAGAGGAUGCCGAAACACCUAGAAAAUAGCUAGAAAUUGGUUGAGGAGGUUCAAAAAUACAAAAAUUAAAAUUUGACAGUAUAUAUUUGACUGAUGAGAGCUCUAUUGAAAAAGAAAAUUUAAUUUGAGAAAAAAAAGUUUAAAAUCAGAUGUUUAUGGAUUUAAUUAAUUUUAUUGAAGGAUUUAUAAAGAGUUUGAUUGCAAGAAAAAUUGAUUUUUAAGUCAAUUUAGACUUUAAUUGAAAGAAAUUAAAGUUCUGAGGUCAAAUUACAAUUUUUAAGAGUUAAUUUGGUCAAAUUAGGAGUUUAAUUACAUAAAUAUUAAAGUUUGAUGGCUAAUUAGGGACUUGUUUAAAUAAAUCCAAAACUAAUGACCAAAAGUUCUAUAACUCUAGAUAUAGUUAACAAUCUGAUGAGUGUUCAGACAGUAACAGUUCAAUGUCGAGACAGUAACAGUUGGACAAUAACAGUUAGACAGUAACAGUUCAAUGUUUAGACAGUAACAGUUGGACAGUAACAGUUCAAUAUCUAGACAGUAACGGUUGGACAGUAACAGUUCAAUGUCUAGACAGUAACAGUUCAAAUUAGACAGUAACAAUUAGACUUUCACGUGAAUACUAUAUGUAAGAAUAUAAAAGAACUGAGUCAUGCGAACACUUGCACGUUGAGACACUUAUGCAAUUUAAAGUUCUUCUGGUGAAUGCAAUUACAAUAAAUACCAUGUUCAAUGUAAAUAAAGUCCAGCGUAUUUACAAGAUUAGCUACAGCUAAUGGCAUCCGUGAUAGGAUUGCCGGGAAAUGAAUUACAAGAGUAGCUUGGGCUAAUAAUGUCCAUGUUGGGACGCCCGAGAACGAUUGAUAAGACUUGAUUUGUAAAGGGUAUCAAUGUUUGAAUGACUUGGGAAAUUGAUAAAUAUAAGUUGACUGUUAUAAUUCUUAUGGAUCCGAUAGAAAAUUUAUACUUCAUUCGUAUACCUUACAUGUGCACAUAUAUAUUUCUUUUGCAAACAUAAUGGUAUGUUUAUUUAUGUAACAAGGCCAUCAAAUAUCCAAGGAGAUCAUUAGUUUAGGGCUCUAUUUUGUCAAUCUUAUGUAAAUAUUUAACUUAAGCAUAAUGGAAUUAACGUGUUUAUGCAGUAUGCUUUUGUGUAAACCUUGAUGUAUUUAUAAAAGUCCAGCUUAACAUGUAGUACAUUAGUUAUCUUGUAAUUAACCCUCUUGAAAUGUUUAAGAAUACUUAAUAAAUUGUAAAUGCUCUCUUUGCAUGUUAUUCCCUUUUCUUUUAAAUUUUAUGACAUGAUAUAUAGGCUAUGUUCAUAUUGAACUUACUAGUAGGAUAUAUAUAUAUAUAUAUAUAUAUAUAUAUAUAUAUAUAUAUAUAUAUAUAUAUAUAUAUAUAUAUAUAUAUAUAUUGUGUGGAUUGUAUGAGUUGUUGAAUAUUGAUAAUUGAAAUAAGGUCUGGAAUUAUGGGACCUUGUGAUGAUGGGUUGAUUGAGUAAAUUGGUAGUAGUCGAUAAUUUGGAAUGUCCUAAAUACAAACGAAACUUUGCCGAAUUUUUGGUAGAUUUAAAAAAAAAAAAUUACCCUCAAAUUAAGAACAUAUGUUGGGAUCUUUUAACGUUGAUCAAGUCGUACAGUCGGGUCUGUUACAUAUACCGUAAAGAUACAAAUCCAGUAUUAAAAUACGUGGUUUUCACCAAAAUAUUGCAAAAGUUAAAUAAAAGAAAUAUAUUAUUUUCAUGCAUAUGGCCAACUCUUUAAAAAAAAAUUAUCAUAUCGUAUUUUCAUACCAUAAAAAAAAUCUCAAAAAUAUUUGUUAGCAUGCAUUUUGGCUUUAAUAACUAGUUUGUUAAAGUCAUGAGAACUAUGCUAACAUUUUAAAAAUUUCAAAAAAAUUAUCUUGUUUUAUUUUAAUAUCCGGGAUUAUGAACUUAAUCGUAAGUCGUACUCCUAAUAUUAAAAUUAGUUUCUUUGGUUGAUAUAGAACGGUUAGGUUUUACCCAAUUAGAUAAUAAUCUCUUUAUCGAGGAAAAUUUUUCUUAAACCAUAGACAGACCAACAACUAGAAAACACAAUGAUACCUUAGCCUAUAUCAGACAAUAAAACAAUGCAGCUUACCUUAGGUAGGGCGUAUUUUGGGUGCUAAUACUUUUUUUUUACGCAAUCAGUCUCCGUACCCGAUCUUUGAGACCAAUUAGGGUUUCAGUUACCAAAAUACUAGGUGGUGACUCUCAUUUUUCCAUUCCACUGAUAAAAGACAAGAUUUUCUUGCCUCCCUAUAUUUGCCAGAUAGACAUACAUGAGAGUGGAUGUUAUUCACCGUGACACCGCACACGUGUCACAAUUACAAUUCCAUUAUAAUUUGUUCCUUAAAAGUAUUCAAAAUAUAGUAUUAGAAUUACGUAAUGCUAGGUUUUAAUAUAUAAUUUUUUAUAUUGUUAAAGAGUCUCUCCUGGACCAAAUAAUAAAAAUAUUGUAUAACUCUUAUGUAUGAAUCGUAAAUCCAGGGAUUGUUUUGGAUCCUGAAUUGGCUGAUUUGAUUUGAAUAUAUUAUAUGAUUAGUCCAUUUAUAGGUUAACUCUACUAUUGCUGCCUUGCAUUGACUUUACUCUGCAGCUAACUUCUCUGUCCCAUUGCUGCCAUUUCAUAGCUAACUCUUUGUUAUAUUUAACUUUCUCUUCUUUGCUUCUUUCUCGUUUUAAUUUCAUUUCUUGCUCAUAACGAUAACUUGAAAGCCUCACGUUCAGAUAGAUAAUCAUUGACCAGUUCAUCCUAUAUCAUUCUAUUUAAUUUAGAAAUGCAGAAAGAAAAACGCAAGCAAUCCAAAGAUGAAGAAAACGAUUCAUCCUCGCGAAAGAGAAGAAAAGCUGACCUCAGUAAGCCUGUCAGUUUUGUCUCCACAGGUAAGGCAGAUGCGUGAGUCUAUACAUGUAGGAACUGCUGAUUCGAUUUGAAUAUGUUAUUUGAUUAGUCUGAUCAUAGGACAGGUUGAGUCUACUACUAUUUCUGCCUUGCUUUGACUCGAAAUUCCUGGUGUUUUCUCCUGCAAAUGAAUAGAAAUCACAUCCUUUCUCUUUCUCCUAUACAAAGAAUACAAUUAACCUCAUUUCAAUAUCAUAGCUUUGGAAUUUCAUAGCUAACUCUUUGUUAUGUUGUUCCAUUGGUAAUUGAUUGUGCCUUAAUUUCUGCAGCUACCAUGACAGAGCCAGAGUCUUCUCGAUCUAGACCAGAAGGGGCCUAUGAUGUCUUCUUGAGUUUUAGAGGAGAAGACACUCGCAAGACAUUUACAGAUCAUCUAUAUAGUGCCUUAGUCCAAGCAGGAAUCCACGCUUUUCGAGAUGAUGAUGACCUUCCAAGAGGAGAAGAAAUCUCCGAUCAUCUCCUCAGGGCAAUUCAAGAAUCAAAGAUAUCCAUAGUUGUCUUCUCAAAAGGAUAUGCUUCUUCUAGAUGGUGUCUCAAUGAACUUGUAGAGAUUCUUGAGUGCAAAAAUAGAAAAACCGGUCAGAUUGUUCUUCCUAUAUUCUAUCACAUUGAUCCUUCAGAUGUGAGAAAACAGAAUGGCAGUUUUGCAGAAGCAUUUGCUAACAAUGAAGAGCGUUUUGAAGAGAAGUUGGUGAAGGAGUGGAGAAAAGCUCUUGAGGAGGCUGGAAAUCUAUCUGGAUGGAAUCUCAAUCAUAUGGCAAAUGGGUAUGCCUUUUUUUCUCUAAGAUUCUCUUGCACACAUUUAUGGAGUCAUUAUACUUUACAUUUUUCAAUGUGAAACAAUAAAAUACUUAAUUGACUCGCUAUUAAUGACUUGCUUUUGUCUAUGAGCAGGCAUGAAGCAAAAUUUAUCAAAGAGAUUAUCAAGGAUGUGUUGAAUAAAUUAGAUCCCAAGUACUUCUAUGUUCCUGAGCACCUAGUAGGUAUGGAUCGGCUUGCUCACAAUAUUUUUGACUUUCUAAGUACUGCAACAGAUCAUGUACGCAUUGUGGGCAUACACGGGAUGCCAGGAAUAGGAAAGACGACUAUAGCAAAAGUUGUAUUUAAUCAACUCUGCUAUGGAUUCGAGGGAAGCUGUUUUCUUUCGAAUAUCAAUGAAACAUCAAAACAAUUUAAUGGUCUGGCUCUUUUACAAAGGCAACUUCUUCAUGAUAUUUUAAAACAGGAUGCUGCAAACAUCAAUUGUGAUGAUAGAGGAAAGGUUCUGAUCAAAGAACGACUUCGUCGCAAAAGAGUUGUUGUGGUUGCUGAUGAUGUUGCUCAUCAGGACCAGCUAAAAGCUUUGAUGGGAGAGCGAAGCUGGUUUGGUCCCGGAAGUAUAGUAAUUAUUACAACAAGAGAUUCAAAUCUUCUUCGUGAAGCAGAUCAAACAUAUCCGAUCAAAGAAUUGACACGAGAUCAGUCCCUUCGGCUUUUCAGCUGGCAUGCCUUUAAGGACACCAAGCCAGCAGAAGCUUAUAUUGAGCUUUCGAAGGAUGCAGUUGAUUACUGUGGAGGACUUCCUUUAGCUCUUGAGGUUAUAGGAGCUUGUCUGUACGGGAAAAGCAAAGAUAGAUGGAAAAGUGAAAUUGACAACUUGAGCAGAAUUCCAGAAAACAAUAUUCAAGGAAAGCUUCUAAUAAGUUUUGACGCACUGGAUGGUGAGCUACAAAAUGCAUUCCUUGAUAUUGCAUGCUUCUUUACUGAUGUAGAGAAAGAAUACGUCGCAAAAGUGCUAGGAGCCCGUAGCUGUUACAAUCCAGAAGUUGUUUUGGAAACUCUCUGUGAAAGGUCUCUUAUUAAAGUAUUUGGAGAGAUGGUAACCAUGCAUGAUCUAUUACGAGAGAUGGGAAGGGAGGUCGUUCGUAAAGCGUCUCCCAAACAACCUGGAGAGAGGACCAGAAUUUGGAAUCAAGAGGAUGCGUGGAAUGUACUUGACCAGCAGAAGGUAAGAGCUCAAUGCAUACACGUAGCCAUGCGUAUUUUCUAGUCAAACUUAUUACAAAUAAUCAUAUGAAAGUUUUAUUGUUUUUUUUUUAGGGUACGGAUGCUAUAGAGGGUCUUGCACUGGAUAUGAGAGCAUCAGAAGCUAAAUCACUAAGCACAGGAUCAUUUGCAAAAAUGAAACGCUUAACUUUACUCCAAAUCAAUGGAGCACAUCUCACUGGAUCCUUCAAACUGCUUUCUAAAGAGUUGAUGUGGAUUUGUUGGCAUGAAUGUCCUUUAAAAUAUUUGCCAUCUGAUUUUACCUUAGAAAAUCUAGUUGUUCUUGAUAUACAGUACAGUAACCUCAAAGAACUAUGGAAGGGAGAAAAGGUAUGAAACAUUUUACAAUCCCCAACAUUUGUCCAGUACAUAAUUUAUAUUUACAUGUUAUGACUUUUUAUGAUUAAUUUCCAUUAUUUUGCUCUCUAUUACGACAGAUUCUCAACAAGCUAAAAAUCCUUGAUCUUAGUCAUUCUCAUAACCUUAUUAAAACACCAAACUUGCACAGUUCAAGUCUGGAGAAACUAAAGCUGGAAGGUUGCUCUAGUUUAGUUGAGGUGCAUCAAUCUGUUGGAAAUUUGAAGAGCCUCAUUUUCUUGAAUAUGGAGGGAUGUUGGAGCCUUAAGAUUCUUCCCGAAAGCAUUGGCAAUGUAAAGUCUCUUAAACGUUUGAAUAUUUCUGGGUGUUCACAACUUGAGAAAUUGCCAGAACACAUGGGUGAUAUGGAAUCCUUAACUGAGCUGCUAGCUGAUGGGAUUGAAAAUGAGCAAUUUCUCUCUUCAAUUGGAC